CUCGAGUUCUACUUGAUGCCAUGUUCAUGUGCUGCAGUCUAGGAACCACUCGGUCCUUUUCCAGUAAGGAAAAGUUUGUUUGCUGGUUUCAUUCCUGGGAAAUGGUGUUAUGUUCUUCUUCCACUCUGGGAGUUAGGUCCGAAUAAGCUGCCGUUGGGUUCAGUCAGCUAUCAUCAACGAGUGACGUGAGCCAGCACUUUCAGACAAGAGGAUAAAAGGAUUAUCCUGAAGAUUUCUGUUAACUAUGGGCAAGAGAGAAGUAUCGAAAAACUUUUACCCAUGACCAAUUAUUUGACCAAGAUAGAUGCCGAUGCUUUCAUCUCAAAGUGCUGCCCCACUUCGGAUUGAGGAGAAGGAAUAUGGCGUCAUCGGUAAUACGAUGUUCAAGGAAAUUGCGGCAUGAUGGAAUGGAUGAUUUUGGGUUUCUUUAUUGUGAGAAAGAGUAUCCGCGGGAGGCUAAAAUGGUGUUCUUCGAUUACAGUAUAUGUGUGUUCCUUUGCUAAGGUCAAACUUUGGGUGCUAAUGUGAUUUUGUUUGAUGCAUUUUCUUACUAGCUCAAUCCAAAAUAGUUAGCUCUCUAUUGUAGUUUAUAUUUGUUUUUAGGAAAAUGAUGGUUUCAUAUUGAAAUUCAGGAUAUCCCUGUUCCAAUUUAUUAUUGUAUACAUUUUUCCUAUUUGGCAAUACAUAUAUCAUAUAUCUCGAUGCCAGUAUAGUUUCAUGGUAUAACAUCCGCCGAAAGAGAUCAGUAUCAGGAACAUUGAAGAUGUUAGUAGUAGUUCUGCUUAAAAAUGUUUCAUAGUAUGUUACACUGCCAUUGUGAGCUUAUGUAGUCA